GAUGAACGCUGGCGGCGUGCCUAAUACAUGCAAGUCGAGCGAACGGACGAGAAGCUUGCUUCUCUGAUGUUAGCGGCGGACGGGUGAGUAACACGUGGAUAACCUACCUAUAAGACUGGGAUAACUUCGGGAAACCGGAGCUAAUACCGGAUAAUAUUUUGAACCGCAUGGUUCAAAAGUGAAAGACGGUCUUGCUGUCACUUAUAGAUGGAUCCGCGCUGCAUUAGCUAGUUGGUAAGGUAACGGCUUACCAAGGCAACGAAGCAUAGCCGACCUGAGAGGGUGAUCGGCCACACUGGAACUGAGACACGGUCCAGACUCCUACGGGAGGCAGCAGUAGGGAAUCUUCCGCAAUGGGCGAAAGCCUGACGGAGCAACGCCGCGUGAGUGAUGAAGGUCCUCGGAUCGUAAAACUCUGUUAUUAGGGAAGAACAUAUGUGUAAGUAACUGUGCACAUCUUGACGGUACCUAAUCAGAAAGCCACGGCUAACUACGUG
rnacentral:rRNA from 1 species